rnacentral:rRNA from 1 species
CGUGCUAAGGUAGCACAAUCACUUGCUUUUUUAUUGAAAGCCAGAAUGAAAGUGUUGACAUAGAACAGCUGACUCCUUUUUACCUUUAAAUCUAAGCGUAAGGUUAAAACGCCUUAAAUCUCUAGAAGGACGACAAGACCCUAUAAAACUUUAUUGGUCCAGCCUUAACCUAUAUAAGAGUUUAUUUAAAGGCUAAUCAAUUUAGCUGGGGCGGCUAACUUAUUUUUAACAAGGGUUAAAAAAACACCCUGAGUGAAUUUUCUGAACGCGAAAGCAAGUAGAUUAAGUUACUUUAGGGAUAACAGCACAAUCUUUCCAGAAAGCUCCCAUUGAUGGAAAGGCUUAUGACCUCGAUGUUGAAUUGGAACCCCUCCUGGCUGCCCG